rnacentral:pre_miRNA from 1 species
UAAUUCCAAAGUUGUACAGAGUUGGAACGUUUGCCCACGUUUGCCGCUAGGGGCGCUGUUGCAACUGCAUACUACUAUAAGUUA